rnacentral:rRNA from 1 species
AGUGAACGCUGGCGGUAGGCCUAACACAUGCAAGUCGAACGGCAGCACAGUAAGAGCUUGCUCUUACGGGUGGCGAGUGGCGGACGGGUGAGGAAUACAUCGGAAUCUACUUUUUCGUGGGGGAUAACGUAGGGAAACUUACGCUAAUACCGCAUACGACCUACGGGUGAAAGCAGGGGAUCUUCGGACCUUGCGCGAUUGAAUGAGCCGAUGUCGGAUUAGCUAGUUGGCGGGGUAAAGGCCCACCAAGGCGACGAUCCGUAGCUGGUCUGAGAGGAUGAUCAGCCACACUGGGACUGAGACACGGUCCAGACUCCUACGGGAGGCAGCAGUGGGGAAUAUUGGACAAUGGGCGCAAGCCUGAUCCAGCCAUACCGCGUGGGUGAAGAAGGCCUUCGGGUUGUAAAGCCCUUUUGUUGGGAAAGAAAAGCAGCAGGUUAAGACCCCGCUGUUCUGACGGUACCCAAAGAAUAAGCACCGGCGAACUUCGG